rnacentral:rRNA from 1 species
CGAGGAUACUCUUAUAAGACGAGAAGACCCCAUGGAGCUUUAAACCCAAUUAUAUCUCUAACCACUAUAACCAUUUAACCACUUAGAACUUAUAUACUUGGUUUUAGGUUGGGGCGACCACGGAGCACAACCAAACCUCCACGAUGAACGGAACAACCCCCUUAUCUGAGAAUUACACUUCUAAGAAUUAGCACACUAACAUAAAAUGACCCAUUAUUGAUCAACGAACCAAGUUACCCUGGGGAUAACAGCGCAAUCCAUUUUAAGAGCCCCUAUCGACAAAUGGGUUUACGACCUCGAUGUUGGAUCAGGAUAUCCCAGUGGUGCAGCAGCUGCUAAAGGUUCGUUUGUUCAACGAUUAAAAUCCU